GAUGAACGCUGGCGGCGUGCCUAAUACAUGCAAGUCGAGCGAACGGACGAGAAGUUUGCUCCUCUGAUGUUUUCGGCGGACGUGUGAGUCACACGUGUAUCACCUCCCUAUAAGACUGGGAUAACUUCGGGACACCGGCGCUAAUACCAUAUAAUAUUUUGAACCGCAUGGUUCAAAAGUAAAAGACGGUCUUGUUGUUACUUAUAGAUGGUUCCGGGUGUAAUUAGCUAGUUGGUAUGGUAACGGCUUACCAAGGCAACAAUGCAUAGCCGACCUGGGAGGGUGAUGGGCAACAAGGGAACGGAGAAAGGAUCAAGACUCCUAGGGGAGGAAGAAGAGGGGAAUCUUGCGCAAUGAGGGAAAGCCGGACGGAGCAACGCGGGGUAGGGGAUGAGGGUCUUCGGAUCGUAAAACUCGGUGAUUAGGGAAGAACAGAUGUGUAAGUAACUGUGCACAUCGUGACGGUACCUAAUCAGAAAGCCACGGCUAACUACGUG
rnacentral:rRNA from 1 species